UACUCACCUCCCUCUGCUCCCAGCGCUAUGCUGCCACACACCGGCCGUCUGCGGAACUGCAGCCGGAGGAACUCGGUACAGCUUGUUAUGUGUGAACGAUCUAGAUCCCUCCGCUUCCCCAUAAUUACCGCGAACAUUUUAACUUUCAUGACAGAAAUGGAGAGCUUUUAUGCUGAGAUAAAGCAGUACGUGCUCAAUGGUGGUUACCACAAUCUCACCAUCGCCGCUGAUCGCAGCAUGAUAAAAGGAAGGCGUUCAUUCGGAGGGCAUCCAAACAAUACCUGAUCAAAGCUGGAGAUUUGUACUACACAUACAAGGACAAUGAGAGGAUGGUUGUGUGCACCAAGGACCAAAUUAUCAAUGUCCUGAAGGAGUGCCAUGAUAACCUGGGUUCCGGAGGUCAUGCAGGGAGAAGGCGCACCACCGAGAAGGUUUUGGCAACGUACCACUGGUCCACUAUGCGGGAGGACGUGAAGAAAUGGAUACAUUCUAACAGCGACUGAUCUGUUCACGAAGUGGGUGGUAGCAAAAAUGCUCUACCACAAAACAGCUGUUGAGGUCUCAAAAAAGAUUGUGAAUAUUCUUCGAGAUUUCGGUCUUGUCGAGAAGAUCAUUACCGACCAAGGACGGGAAUUUGUCAAUGAGGUACAAUAAUCUAUCUAAUACAGUGUAUGUGUUAUGUGUAACAAUGUAAUACGAUUUUUCAGGUAAUUUGGUAAUUGGUGUACACUAAACCAUCUGCAGGUCAACCGUGGUGUUUUUGAUGCACUGGGUGUAAAACACUGCAUCACUUC